GACGGGCCCGCACAAGCAGCGGAGCGUGUGGUUUAAUUCGAUGUUACACGAAGAACCUUACCAGGGUUUGACAUGCAAGUGGUAGGAAGCCGAAAGGUGACCGACCCUUCGGGGAGCUUGCACAGGUGCUGCAUGGCUGUCGUCAGCUCGUGUCGUGAGAUGUUCGGUUAAGUCCGCUAACGAGCGCAACCCUCGCUGUGUGUUAUAUGUGUCACACGGGACUGCCGGUCUUAAGCCGGAGGAAGGUGGGGAUGAUGUCAAGUCAGCAUGGCCUUUAUAUCCUGGGCUACAUACACGCUACAAUGGCCAACACAAUAGGUUGCUAAGCCGCGAGGUGGCGCCAAUCCAUAAAGUUGGUCUCAGUUCAGAUUGUAGGCUGCAACCCGCCUGCAUGAAGAUGGAGUUGCUAGUAACCGCAGGUCAGCUAUACUGCGGUGAAUACGUUCCCGGGGCUU
rnacentral:rRNA from 1 species